GAUCCUGGCUCAGAUUGAACGCUGGCGGCAUGGCUAAAACAUGCAAGUCGAACGCGAACGGAGAGCUUGCUUUCCAAGUAGAGUGGCGAAAGGGCGAGGAAUAUAUUUCUAACGUGCCCCAAGGUCGAGGAUAGCUCGGGGAAACUUGGAUUAAUACCUGAUGACCCCCGCAGAUCGUAUGUUCAGCGGGGCAAAGGCUUGCCACUCGGGGAGCGGGGAAAGUCCUAUCAGGUUGUUGGUGGGGUAACGGCUUACCAAGGCUUAGACGGGUAGCGGGUGUGAGAGCAUGACCCGCCGCAUCGGGACUGAGACACUGCCCGGACUCCUACGGGAGGCUGCAGCGACGAAUCUUCCGCAAUGGGCGAAAGCCUGACGGAGCAAUGCCGCGUGCAGGAUGAAGCCCCUCGGGGUGUAAACUGCUGUCAGGGGCUACCAAGAUCUGAGGAGCUCCAGAGGAAGGACCGGCUAACUUCGUGCCAGCAGCCGCGGUAAUACGAAGGGUCCAAGCGUUAAUCGGAGUAACUGGGCUUAAAGGGUGCGUAGGCGGAUCGGUAAGUGCUUUGUGAAAUCCCACGGCUCAACCGUGGAAUUGCUUGGCAUACUGCAUAUCUUGAGGUCGGAAGAGGUUGCCGGAACUCUAGGUGGAGCGGUGAAAUGCGUAGAUAUCUAGCGGACGCCAAAGGAGAAGGCAGGUUGCUGGGCCGAUGUUGACGCUCAGGCACGAAAGCGUGGGUAGCGAACGGGAUUAGAUACCCCGGUAGUCCACGCCCUAAACGAUGUGUACUAGAUCGUGAAGACUCUGACGUCGGCACGGUCGAAGCAAAAGUUUUUAAGUACACCGCCUGGGGAGUAUGGUCGCAAGGCUGAAACUCAAAGGAAUUGACGGGGGCUCACACAAGCGGUGGAGCAUGUGGCUUAAUUCGAGGCAACGCGAAGAACCUUAUCCUGGGUUUGACAUGUAUGGAUUAGCUCCCUGAAAGGGGAGUGACGCGGCUUGCCGUGGAACAUACACAGGUGCUGCAUGGCUGUCGUCAGCUCGUGCUGUGAAGUGUCGGGUUAAGUCCCUUAACGAGCGAAACCCCUGUCAUUAGUUGCCAACGCGUUAUGGCGGGGCGGGGACUCUAGCGGGACUGGCGGUGUUAAACCGGAGGAAGGUGGGGAUGACGACAAGUCCUCAUGGCCUUUAUGCCCAGGGCUGCACACGUGCUACAAUGGCAAUUACAGAGCGAAGCGAUGUCGCAAGGCGGAGCAAAUCGCAAAAAGGUUGCCCCAGUUCGGAUUGUGGUCUGCAACUCGACCACAUGAAGUUGGAAUCGCUAGUAAUCGCGUAUCAGCUACGACGCGGUGAAUACGUUCCUGAGCCUUGUACACACCGCCCGUCAAGUCAUGGGAGCCGGUAGUACCCGAAGCCGCCCUACUUCAAUGGUGUCGACGGUAAGCUCGGUGACUGGGACUAAGUCGUAACAAGGUAACCA
rnacentral:rRNA from 1 species